rnacentral:rRNA from 1 species
UACAGAGAGUGCAAACGUUGUUCGGAAUUACUGAGCUUAAAACGCACGUAGACUGCAUCGUAAGUGUCAGAUGAAAUCCCACGGCUCACCCGUGGAACUGCCUGGCAUACUGCGAUGCUCGAGUGUGGUAGGGGAGAGCGGAACUCCUGGUGGAGCGGUGAAAUGCGUAGAUAUCAGGAGGAACACCGGUGGCGAAGGCGGCUCUCUGGUCCACAACUGACGCUGAGGUGCGAAAGCUAGGGGAGCAAAC